rnacentral:rRNA from 2 species
AAAUUGAAGAGUUUGAUCAUGGCUCAGAUUGAACGCUGGCGGCAGGCCUAACACAUGCAAGUCGAACGGUAACAGGAAACAGCUUGCUGUUUCGCUGACGAGUGGCGGACGGGUGAGUAAUGUCUGGGAAACUGCCUGAUGGAGGGGGAUAACUACUGGAAACGGUAGCUAAUACCGCAUAACGUCGCAAGACCAAAGAGGGGGACCUUC